UACGUAGGGGGCUAGCGUUGUCCGGAAUCAUUGGGCGUAAAGAGCGCGUAGGCGGCCAGAUAAGUCCGGUGUGAAAGUCAAAGGCUCAACCUUUGAAUGCCGCUGGAAACUGUCUGGCUAGAGUCCGGGAGGGGCGAGUGGAAUUCCUGGUGUAGCGGUGAAAUGCGCAGAUAUCAGGAGGAACACCAAUUGCGAAGGCAGCUCGCUGGGACGUUACUGACGCUGAGACGCGAAAGCGUGGGGAGCAAACAGG
rnacentral:rRNA from 1 species